rnacentral:lncRNA from 10 species
GGAAGUUUCUUGGUAUGUGUAUGAAGCCUAAGAUUGAGAUAGUGGUACUGAGGGUGGCAUGAUACCCCAUUGAGGCUGGGAGUUUUAUUUCUUUUAAGUCUUUCUGUAGGUAUACCUCUGUGGGUUCCUGCCACUUCUAAACCAUAGUUAUAAGGCCAAUAAAUACAUAAAACAAUCUUCCUACUGCUCGCAGGCACCAUGCUCUUCCUAAUAGCUCUAUAAGAACCCUUUAUUGCUCGUGACCCUGUGUCCACAUUAUGCUAUCUGAUUAUUCAUAAUUUUUCUCGGAUCUGCUUGAUAUGAAACAUGGAUACAGCCAUAUUUGAAGGAACAUGUUACAGGAAAAGAAACCCCGACCUCGGAAUCUGAGGAUUUGUAUAAUUUGGACUUUACACAAAAUAAUUAUGUAAUUUUGGGCAAGUCCCUUAAUACAGUAUUUGAACUCAAUUUUAUUGCCCCUUUUAGGUCUAAACUCUCAGCUGUGAGUACUAAUUUGUGGCGUGAUGGUGAGGUGAAAUGGCAGAGGCCCAUGGCACAUCAUUGCAGAAUAUGCGUUAGACUUUCACAAGUCAUCAGUCAUGAAUUUCAGGAUCUGGCUGCUUGUCUUCAUGGGAGACGUCAGGAACCCACCACUUAACCACACAAGGGCCCAACUCAUCGAGCAUUACAGCUUGGGGAAGAAACGCCAGCCGCGAGCCAGAGAAACAAAAACGAGGGGCUGUCCCUAAAAUGCAGGAUCCAAGGGCCUGGAGCUGGAGAGAAAUCAGGCAGCAC